AUGACUCCACUGUUUCGCCCACCCGCAGCAAACGUCACAUUGGUAAGCGACCUCAUUGACACGGACAAUUGGACUUGGCAGUGGGAUCUUAUCCGUGAAAACUUCAUCACUCCGGACGCAGAAGCAAUCUUGAAUAUCCCACUACGUGCUGGAGGAGGGGAUGAUUUCUUGGCUUGGGCACAUGAAAUAUCAGGCAACUACACCGUUAAGUCGGCGUACCGCGCUCUAGUGACUCGUAACGAGCUUCAGGCUCUAGAGGAAGGGCAGGCUACCGGAUCUUCAACAGAUAAACAACGGAUGUGGAAUGAUCUCUGGAAAUUGAAUGUGUUGCCCAAGGUGCGUGUAUUU
rnacentral:rRNA from 1 species